GCUCUCUGUGUGUAGGGCUGCCAUUGUAGAAUGACUAGGGCUGUGCAAAUAGCUGGGUUUUCUGAGUAAUUCCGUUUCACAUGUUUUAAUUUCUUGGAUAUUAAUUCAAAUAGAAUAAGAGCCCUUAAAAAGUGUUAAUUACACAAAACAAAACUUUCCAUCAUUUAUUGAGUACCAAUCAGUAACAAUCUGAUUUUACGCUAGAAACCAAUAAAAACAACUCCUGUUUUAUCUGAGAUUGCCUAAGUUUUCUUUUAUCUGUUUGACAUAAUCAUUUUGAUUUCACUUCCUCAUUUACAUAGAAAUCUCCUCGUGUGUACAACAUAUGCAGUGCAUUGUGGGAUUGCAGUCCUGGGGAAUAUGUAACCUCUGAUUAAACUUGACAAACAGCUACAUCUCCCAGUAAACACCACUGAAGUUAAUUUCCAUUGAAUGGUACUCAGUUGUAUAAAUUAAGGAGUGGAAGCUUUUAUUGUUGUGAUGUUAACACAUUUUUAGUAGUCUUGGUUUCAUAAAAGUUAAAGUGAAUUACUCUGAAAGAGUAUUUGCAGUCUGCUUGAAACAUCACAGCACAAAUACAUUUUCUGUUCAAUUCCUGUUUGGUCUUGGUUGUCACUGCAAUCUGAAAAUUAUAUAGGAAGUUAUUCUAAAGAAAGUAACUCUGCUCGUAAUAUGAUGGCCCUUUUUAUUUCCAGAACUUAGCAAAGAUGUACUCAAGACACGUUGCCAAAUAACCGAAAUUCUGUUUUAAGUCAGACAUGUACAGUUUGCUUUAAGGAAUACCUUCUGAUUUUUCUAUUUGUUUAUUAUCUCAUGAAACAUGCUUUUAAUCAUCAUGUAUUGCUGUAGUUUCACUCGAGGAUAUUGGUCAUGUUUAAUCAAGUCACCAGCAGGGGUGGAAAAAGUAUUCAAACAUAUUAUUUGAGUAAAAGUACUGUUACUUGGAAAAAAAUAUAAUUAAGUAAAAGUCAAAGUAUCCUUCUAGAAAACUACUUGAGGUAAAAGUACAAAAGUAUCAGAUCUUAAAAGUACUCAAGUAUCAGAAGCAAAAAGUAGCCGCCCUUAAAUUUUACCUGUGGAAAUCUGCCUGGAAAAAAAAAAAAGUCCUGCAGACUAGAGAGUGACACAGGAAUGAAACUUAACUUCAGUCCUGUCCCAUCCUGUCAUGUCAAACAUGUACCCGUCACAUCCCAUCCCAUGAAAGAGUCAUCAUUUCCAAUCCUGUCAUGUCAAACAUGUACCCGUCCCAUCCCAUCCCAUGAAAGAGUCAUCAUUUCCAAUCCUGUCCUGUCAAACAUGUACCCGUCCCGUCCCAUCCCAUCCCAUGAAAGAGUCAUCAUUUCCAAUCCUGUCCCAUCCUGUCCUGUCAAACAUGUACCCGUCCCGCCCCAUCCCAUCCCAUGAGUCAUCAUUUCCAAUACUGUCCCAUCCUGUCCUGUCAAACAUGUACCCGUCCCGUCCCAUCCCAUCCCAUGAAAGAGUCAUCAUUUCCAAUCCUGUCCCAUCCUGUCCUGUCAAACAUGUACCCGUCCCAUCCCAUCCCAUAAAAGAGACAUCAUUUCCAAUCCUGUCCUGUCAAACAUGUACCCGUCCCAUCCCAUCCCAUGAAAGAGUCAUCAUUUCCAAUCCUGUCCCAUCCUGUCCUGUCCAAAUUUUUCCCGUCCCAUCAACUGUUUAGAGUUUUGUGCGGCAGUUUCAGUUUCUAAAUCGGUUACUAAGCAACCCGGCUCAGAUUUUAGUAUGUCAAUGCCACAAUAAACUCUCAAUGAAAUACAGUAUUACAAACUAUUAAUUCAUUAAAAAAAUAAACAACAAAACAUGGUAUUGAAAUAAUAUUUCAUAAACGUUCAGGGAGUAUCCAUGUAUUUAUUUAUUAAAAAUCGUAGUAUUAUACAUACCCCGUCAUGGUAGCACCGUAGCAGAACCUCCAAAAAAUAAUAGCUGUUGCGGCCAAAUUGUAGCCGUUGACAUCUCUGCAUUAUAAUUAGGGGUAGUAUUCAUAAAAACCGAAAAUGUGCACAUCCUUAAUAUACUGCACAUAUGUAUUGUGAGACAGCAGGGAGGGGGUUAAAACCUCUCUGCAGUAAAAACAUGUGCGGAAUGUUUUCUGUUAAUUGUUUUAUUGUUAAUUAUCACCUGCACCUGGCUAUGAUUGUAAAUUAGAGCCAGGUGCAGGGUUUAUAAGGAGAGCAGUCAGUCUGCUCUAGGCUGCUGAGUAGAAGGAGGCAGGAGAGGUGCUCUGUCUCCGAGUAGCCAGAGAAGAAGUAAGUGCGGUGUGACACCAGUGUGUUUUUGUAAGGACGGGAAAACAGCUUGGCUGUCCCGUGUUAGGAAGGGUGUUCCUGGAAGUUGAGUUAGUGCUCCAAGAGGAGCUAGGUGUUGUUUUGUGUUUGUUUCAUUUUGUUUAUUAAAAAUAGCGCACUAGCGCUUAAAACUCAAUUUCAUUGUUCUGGGUCGUAUUUUUAAAGGGGCACGAACCCGAGUAAGUUGUGCUUUGUCACAUAUGGUGGAGAAUGCGGGCAGAGAGUGUGUGGGCACCCCUACGACCCAGAAAAUGGAUUUUAAAGAAUUGAUCGCAAUGAUCAAUCGUAACACCGCUGCUCAGAAAGAGCAGACAAAGAAGUGGAGACAGGAGUGGGGGCUACCGGAUCCUGAGCCGACAGAGCUAGACCUGCUACUCCAAAAGUGGGAGCAAGUAAGAGGUACCCCGCUGACUCCAGCUCCAGAGCCCAGAGGGGAGGAGCCGCCGCUUCCAGAGCCCAGAGGGGAGGAGCCGCUGCUUCCGGAGCCCAGAGUGGAGGAGCCGCCGCUUCCGGAGCCCAGAGUGGAGGAGCCGCCGCUUCCGGAGCCCAGAGUGGAGGAGCCGCCGCUUCCGGAGCCCAGAGGGGAGGAGCCGCCGCUUCCGGAGCCCAGAGGGGAGGAGCCGCCGCUUCCGGAGCCCAGAGGGGAGGAGCCGCCGCUUCCGGAGCCCAGAGGGGAGGAGCCCAGAGGGGAGGAGGUGAAAAGCAUACCGCCACCACAGCCCCGACCACCACCCCUACAGUCCAGUUCGGCGCCGCUGCGUCCAGUCCCUCACCCCUUGCUCCUGGACACCCUGCCGGUCUUCCUGGACCUCCCUGUGCUGGACCUGGAGCCCAGGAGUCUGCAGCACUGGCCACAGCUCUGCCCCUGGUUACCUGCUCCGCUCUCCCCGAGCACCCAGACGUCGCUGGGCUGCUGCCAGACGUCGCUGUUGCUCCCCCUGUUAGCUGCUUCGCUCCCCCUGGGUGAUCGGACAUCACUGCGCCAGUUCCCAGGGGAAGACCUGUGUCCACUGCGGCAUCCUCCAGUGCCCCGGCCUACGCUUCGGUCGGCCCUGUUAGCCCGGUGGGGUCCCGUGUCGCCGGUUUGCGGUCCCUUCCUGGCAGCGCCGGAAGGACCGACCCAUCCUCAAGCCCGCCCGUGGAAGAGGGCGGCAAUGGACAUUGCUGGACUUGAGGCUGGGUGGUCUUUUAAGGGUGGAGGGAGGUGGCCGUGGUAUGGCCGGUGUCUUGAAAAGACAUGGGGGGGGAUGUGUGAGACAGCAGGGAGGGGGUUAAAACCUCUCUGCAGUAAAAACAUGUGCGGAAUGUUUUCUGUUAAUUGUUUUAUUGUUAAUUAUCACCUGCACCUGGCUAUGAUUGUAAAUUAGAGCCAGGUGCAGGGUUUAUAAGGAGAGCAGUCAGUCUGCUCUAGGCUGCUGAGUAGAAGGAGGCAGGAGAGGUGCUCUGUCUCCGAGUAGCCAGAGAAGAAGUAAGUGCGGUGUGACACCAGUGUGUUUUUGUAAGGACGGGAAAACAGCUUAGCUGUCCCGUGUUAGGAAGGGUGUUCCUGGAAGUUGAGUUAGUGCUCCAAGAGGAGCUAGGUGUUGUUUUGUGUUUGUUUCAUUUUGUUUAUUAAAAAUAGCGCACUAGCGCUUAAAACUCAAUUUCAUUGUUCUGGGUCGUAUUUUUAAAGGGGCACGAACCCGAGUAAGUUGUGCUUUGUCACAGUAUAUAGAGAGAGAUAUGUUAAAUACAUGCCAGUAGCAGUCCACAGCGUUCAUUUAUUCUGCUAGUAUCAAUAAUUCAUGUAUCAAUAUUGUUAACUAAAGGACUGACAUAACUAUACAAUUAUGAAAUAUUUUAAGUAUCAAUCUAUGUUAAACGUAAAAGUUUUUAUUAACCAUUCCAUGUUGCCAAGACGCUGAUUCUCCGUGGACAUCCCUCUGGUCCAUCCGCGUUGAUGUUGUCGGAGUCUCUGUCCGAGUUUGACCCUUCUGAUUCAGAGGCAUACGGUUUCAAUUGAUACGGGAGACAAACCCUGUUUUCUCUCUCUACAUCAGAUCCAUCACUACAUAAAUCACAUUCAUGAGAGGUGUCUGAAACUAAUAAAAUUAGUCUACUCUCACUUUCACUGUCGCUGUCAGCCAUACUGGCAGAUGCAAGGAGCCUGUGUGGGUAUCUCCCUCUGUGACGUCACAGUCUCCUGGCCCCAAACCAGGAAAUGGAGAUCGCCCUCUGUGUAUUUCCGGGUAUUAUUUGAUUAAUUGUAGCGAGAUUAAGCAUAAUUUGGUAAAAUGAAUGUGAUUAUAUGUUCAAGUGAGAUCUGCUAAUAUUAUUUUGUAUGUUUAUGAUAACAGUCAAGUUCCAUGUCAUAGGCUCUUACGACUUUAAACAGCAAAAAAAAAAACAUCCUUCCUGUCUGCUGGUGGCAGAGUAGUCCUGUUCCUUCCCAUUUCCGGAAGCUUAAAUCCCGUUCUUGCCCGUCCUGAGAGGUUAUUUUUUUUUAUUUCCCAGUCCCGUCCGUUCCCAUGAGCUUCACUCCUGUACCAGCCUGUCCUACAAAAUUUAACAAAACUUUCUUCCUAUACCGUGGGAAACCUGUGGGUCCCGUGGGAGUCCUGUCUUCAUGUCACUCUCUACUGCAGACCUACAAGAGGAUUUUGGGAGCUUCCCUGGCUGCGAGGUGGCGAGGCUGGUCACUCAAGUGAGCGGAUAUCUGAAGGUGACAGGAGAUGAGCUGCUGGAAGGGAACAGGUUUGUUGUUGGCUGGUUCAGCC